rnacentral:rRNA from 1 species
ACCAGACUCCUACGGGAGGCAGCAGUGGGGGAUAUUGCACAAUGGGGGGAACCCUGAUGCAGCGACGCCGCGUGGGUGAAGAAGCGCCUCGGCGCGUAAAGCCCUGUCAGCAGGGAAGAAAAUGACGGUACCUGAAGAAGAAGCCCCGGCUAACUACGUGCCAGCAGCCGCGGUAAUACGUAGGGGGCAAGCGUUAUCCGGAUUUACUGGGUGUAAAGGGGGCGCAGACGGCGAUGCAAGCCAGGAGUGAAAGCCCGGGGCCCAACCCCGGGACUGCUCUUGGAACUGCGUGGCUGGAGUGCAGGAGGGGCAGGCGGAAUUCCUAGUGUAGCGGUGAAAUGCGUAGAUAUUAGGAGGAACACCGGUGGCGAAGGCGGCCUGCUGGACUGUGACUGACGUUGAGGCCCGAAGGCGUGGGGAGCAAACAGGAUUAGAUACCCGGGUAC